AUGCCCCCAGACCAAAUGGCGUGGUGGCCGCUCGCCGCCGCGCCCCGCCGCCUCCGCAGACUCGUCGUCGCUGCCUUCCUCUCCACAGCGCCCUCCCACGGCUGCCCGCUCCACGCCGAGCUCGCGCGCCGCGGCGCCCCCGCGGCCGCCUCGCUCGCCCUCUAUUCCCGCAUCCGCGCCGCCACGCCGCCCACCGCCUACACCUUCUCGCUCCUCCUCGCCGCCCUCGCCUCGUCCGCCUCCGGCGGCUGCACACGCCUGGCCGCGCCCGUCGCCCACGCGCACGCGCUCAAGUGCGGCGCGCUCGCGCACCCCGUCGUCACCAACUCCCUCCUCAAGCUCUACUGCGCCCUCGGCCUCCUGCCCCACGCCCGCAGGGUGUUCGACUCGGGCGCCGCUCUGGACGCCGCCUCCUGGAACACCAUGGUGUCCGGCUACGGCAAGAGCGGCGACCUGGCAGCGGCGAGGGAGGUGUUCGGCAGAAUGCCCGGGCGGAACCUGGUGUCUUGGAGCGCCAUGAUCGACGCGCUCGUGCGUGCGGCGGAAUUCGACGAGGCGCUGCAGGUGUUUGAUCGGAUGAUGGGGGAGGGUUUCAAGCCGGAUGUGGUGGUGCUGGUGAGCGUGCUCAAGGCGUGUGCUCAUCUUGGUGCCGUUGAGAGGGGUCGCUGGGUCCAUCGGUAUAUGGAAACAGAGGGGUUUGCAGGGACUCAAAGGAAUGUCAUGGCCGAGACCGCGCUGGUGGACAUGUACUGCAAGUGUGGGUGCAUGGAGGAGGCGUGGCGUGCUUUUGACUCUGUUCGCUGCCGCGACGUUGUGCUGUGGAAUUCAAUGAUUGGGGGGCUUGCCAUGAAUGGCCAUGGUGAGCAUGCACUUGAGUUGUUCCAAAGGAUGGUCGGAAACGGCUUUGUGCCAAAUCAGUCAACCUUUGUUGCUGCUUUGUGCGCGUGCACCCACUCAGGUCGUCUGGAGGAAGGGAGGGAGAUUUUCCAGUCGAUGCGGCAGCACGGGAUCGAGCCACAGAGAGAGCACUAUGGGUGCCUAGCUGAUCUCCUUGGGCGUGCAGGACGUGUUGAGGAGGCUGAGACUGUUUUGUUGGAUAUGCCAAUGGAGCCACAUGCGUCGCAAUGGGGUGCGCUGAUGUCUUCAUGCCGGAUGCAUAAUGAUAUUACUGUCGGCGAACGUGUAGGGAAGCGGCUCAUUGAGCUAGAGCCACAACAUGGUGGGCGGUAUGCUGUUCUGUUCAAUUUGUAUGCAGUCAAUGGUCGAUGGGAAGAUGCAAGAGCCAUUCGGCAGAUGAUGGUGGAGAAGGGAGCGAAGAAAGAGCUGGGUUUCAGCUUCAUGGAGUGA
rnacentral:rRNA from 1 species